CCUACGGGAGGCAGCAGUGGGGAAUUUUGGACAAUGGGCGAAAGCCUGAUCCAGCAAUGCCGCGUGCAGGAAGAAGGCCUUCGGGUUGUAAACUGCUUUUGUACGGAACGAAACGGUCUGCUUUAAUACAGUGGGCUAAUGACGGUACCGUAAGAAUAAGCACCGGCUAACUACGUGCCAGCAGCCGCGGUAAUACGUAGGGUGCGAGCGUUAAUCGGAAUUACUGGGCGUAAAGCGUGCGCAGGCGGUUAUAUAAGACAGUUGUGAAAUCCCCGGGCUCAACCUGGGAAUUGCAUUUGUGACUGUAUAGCUAGAGUACGGUAGGGGGGAUGGAAUUCCGCGUGUAGCAGUGAAAUGCGUAGAUAUGCGGAGGAACACCGAUGGCGAAGGCAAUCCCCUGGACCUGUACUGACGCUCAUGCACGAAAGCGUGGGGAGCAAACAGGAUUAGAUACCCUGGUAGUCCACGCCCUAAACGAUGUCAACUGGUUGUUGGGUGCAUUAGUACUCAGUAACGAAGCUAACGCGUGAAGUUGACCGCCUGGGGAGUACGGCCGCAAGGUUGAAACUUCAAAUUAGAGUAGNGNGNGNGAGNGCGAGAGACGACGAGGAGAGG
rnacentral:rRNA from 1 species